rnacentral:rRNA from 1 species
CCUACGGGCGGCAGCAGUGGGGAAUAUUGCACAAUGGGCGCAAGCCUGAUGCAGCCAUGCCGCGUGUGUGAAGAAGGCCUUCGGGUUGUAAAGCACUUUCAGCGGGGAGGAAGGCGGUGAGGUUAAUAACCUCACCGAUUGACGUUACCCGCAGAAGAAGCACCGGCUAACUCCGUGCCAGCAGCCGCGGUAAUACGGAGGGUGCAAGCGUUAAUCGGAAUUACUGGGCGUAAAGCGCACGCAGGCGGUUUGUUAAGUCAGAUGUGAAAUCCCCGGGCUCAACCUGGGAACUGCAUCUGAUACUGGCAAGCUUGAGUCUCGUAGAGGGGGGUAGAAUUCCAGGUGUAGCGGUGAAAUGCGUAGAGAUCUGGAGGAAUACCGGUGGCGAAGGCGGCCCCCUGGACGAAGACUGACGCUCAGGUGC